AAAGGGAGGGGGCUGGGAAGGGAUAGUUGGGAGGGUAGGAAGGGCUGGGGAAGAAUAGUUGGGCAGGAGGAGAGGGUUAAGGCUGGGACACCUGGGAUAGAUACAAGGGAGUGAGGAGGAACAAUGUGGCCAGCAGGGGAUGAUAAGUAGCAAGUGGAACAUGAACAAGAGGGACAGUUGGGAUGGUACCAAUAAAGACAGUUGGGAGAAAAGGACCCCAGGAAGGGUCAGUUGGGAUGAAGAGAGCCUCAGAAAAACAUUUUUUGAGGAGGACAGAGGGCUAUUUGGGGCAAAUCAGGAUGGAGGAAAGAUGCUAUUAAAGAAUAACUUGGAUGGGAAUAUGUGGGUCAGAGAUAGAGGGUUUAAGAGGGAUUAUUUCUUUUUGGAAAAAGGGGCAAAGGAGGGAAAGUUCGGAGGCUGCAAUGAGAUGGAUUAAUAGUAUAAAUAAUACAGCUAUGGACAAGAAACUGAGGACUGUUAAUCAUUGAAUUUGAUAAAGUUUGGACAGGAAGGUUCUGUCGAGAAACAAGUGGAAAAAAGGGAUGUAUUUGAGGAAGGACAAUUCAAAGGAAUAGCAUCAUUUUGGUGGCUGUGAGAAUUGGAUGAGGGUUUGGUUUCUACAGAGUUAUGGAUAUUAAACUGGAGAGGUGCAGAGAGAUGAAACUUAAAAAGUGAAGAACUUCUUUCUUAGCUACCACAUGGAUGUGACUGAUGAUGAAACUAUGAUGGUGAUACUCUGUCACUCAAUGGAAGUCUCAAGAGUUACAGGAUGACACAUAAAAAGUCAAAGAAAGAAAUGAAGCUAGAGAGGCUUUUUUUUCCCUCUCUUUUAAAUGGUGAAGGAACUUCCUUCUUAGCUACCAUAUGGAUGUGAUUGAUGAUGAAACCAUGAUGUGAUACUCCAUCACUCACUGGAAGUCUCAGAGUUACAGGAUGACACAGAAAAAGUCAAAGAAAUGAAGCUAGAGAGACUUUUUUCCCUCUCUUUUUAAACGGAUAUGGCAUCCUUCUAGCAAUAUCAAGGGGUGGUAUGGAAUUUUUUGAAUCAUACCAUACCAUUGUGAUGAAACCCUUAAGUACCAAGAUACUGUAUGAACCAAAGCAGCCAGGAAAUUAUUCAUCUUCCCCAAACCCAAGC